UAUUUAAAAAAAAACAACCUUCUCAUCUGAAAAGUCAAAGGCCUUUUUUUAAACACUAACAACUUCUUAAGGAACCAUUCAUUGACACAGAUCUGAGGGGGCUCAGGAAGGAAUUAAGUUAUGAAUACAUGCAAGAGACUUUAAAAACACAAAUAGCCCUGAGCCAAGAUUCACAGAGCAAAUAUUGCAAAUGUGCUCCCUAUAAUCUGUAGCUUCUAACAGGGCCAGGAAGAGGCAUUUCCCAGGUUCCCUCUUGCAGCCACACUGGGCAUAAAUCAGGGGAGUAAAAAUGGCUUGUUUGUGCUCCUUUUUGCAGCAGUGACUGAUGUUUUAUAUUGCACUGAUCAUUAAGCAAAAGGUGCCAGAGGUGGAUCUCAUAAAAAGAAGUAACAGGGAUGUAUUUUUUUCCACUGUGGAACAAAUCCAGAUAAUUUAAAACCCCACAUGUUGCUUGCACCUGCCACAUGGAGCUUCAUGACCAAGCAGAAGAAGCCAUUUGUAAUUGGCAUUAGAGCUCAUUAGAGCAGCAUUUGUUCUCCUCUUCUUUCAGGGAUUUGGACCCUAAAUCCCAGGGCUUUAGUUAAACCUCUCUGAGAGAUUCCCUCUUGUCUCCUGAGCCACUUCUGACCUGUCCCUUUAACCUCUCUCUGUAGUCAAGUGUGAUUUUUCCCUCGUGCAGAGGAGAUAAUCUUGGUGGCUGCUGCUGAUCUCAUUCUCACACAGCUCUCUGACCACCACACACCAAAGAUUCCCAGGGUUAUUUUAUUUUUUAAUAAUUAACUGACAAACAAAUUUAGCCACGUUCUGCUGUAUCACACUUCCAGAUUACAUCUGUUGUUUCUUUGAGCUCUCACAUCUUUUAGAAGGCUGCUCAGGGACCAGUUUGGAGCAGGAUGCUGCCAAUAACAGACCACAAGAGUAGACAGGAGCUGAGAUGCUGCAAUCCAGUCCUUAUUUAGUUAGGUUUUCACACCAGAAUUUCUUGUUGUUUUCUUUUCCUAGUUCAGCUUUAAUGUUGGUCCAUGUUAUCAGCUGCACACAGUAUAUUUGCUUCCCUUCUUGAUUCCAGGAGGGAUGAAUUGCUGCUGGAUUGACAGAAACAUGCUGUAGGAUCUUCCAGGUGGGCUCCCCUUGCCAGUGUGUGCUACAAAUCCCCACAUCACAUGGAAAAUUAUCUCAGCUGGAGUGCCAACCCAGGGAAAGAACUUUGAACUCAGACCUGGUCAAGAGUUAUUUGAAAUGACUGCAGCAACUGUUGGUGAGUUUCUACUGCAUUUAGAUUAAAAAAAAAGAAAAAGACAAAAAAGUAAUUAGACAACCAUUUUAUUGAAGUCAAUAAGGCCAUUCUUGGCAUGAAGUGUUACUUAGGAUUAAAGAUAGCAGAUGUCUGCCUUAAGUCACAGUCUCCUAUUAAAUACUUCACAUGAGUACCAAAUAUUG